rnacentral:rRNA from 1 species
UGAGGAAUAUUGGUCAAUGGGCGCUAGCCUGAACCAGCCAUGCCGCGUGCAGGAAGACGGCCCUACGGGUUGUAAACUGCUUUUCUGCAGGAAGAAUAUAUUUUCUUAGGGGGAUAUUGACGGUACUGCAGGAAUAAGCAUCGGCUAACUCCGUGCCAGCAGCCGCGGUAAUACGGAGGAUGCAAGCGUUAUCCGGAUUCAUUGGGUUUAAAGGGUGCGCAGGCUGUAAAGCAAGUCAGUGGUGAAAGCCCUGGGCUUAACUCAGGGAUUGCCAUUGAAACUGUUUUACUAGAGUGUAGUAGAGGACGGCGGAAUGAGUUGUGUAGCGGUGAAAUGCAUAGAUAUAACUCAGAACACCUAUUGCGUAGGCAGCUGUCUAUACUACAACUGACGCUGAGGCACGAAAGCGUGGGGAGCGAACA